CGCGCGCCCGCGGGCGGGGCGGGGAUUCCGGCGCCCGGAGCUCAGCUAGGCAAAUAGAACAGCCCCUAUCUGGAACAUUGCUGGAUCUAGUGGCAGAAGGAAAAUGGAGAAUGUGGCAAACCAUUGCUGACUCUGGACAUUUCUGCCUGAGAUUGACACACAUCAGUCUUGCCAAUAUUUCACCAGCCGAAAAGAGGUGGUAUAUUUCCUCACUGCCACUGCCCUCCUGUUCUCUUUGUGAACAACGACAAGCAUUUUCCAAGAUGUCUUGCCAGUCUGCAGAUCACCUGUGAUUGAUGACCUUUAUUUUGAUGCGUCAUCUUUUAUGACCACUGAGAUAUGGUCAUAUUUGAUCAACUUUGAUCAACGAGGUAA